UUGCGUGUGUUUCUGGCCGCCGUUGAUUGGUCUCCUUGAGGCUGUCGGCGGAGGUGCUAUUGGCGAUUUCAACGAUUGGGUGCGACGAUUUGGCGGUGACUUUUUUCACGGACAGGAGGCAAAGGGAUCACAGACUUGAAAGCAGCUAUUAAGGUGAGAUAUUGCAGCAAAAGACCUCCAAUAGACACGUUGAUUCUGGUAGUCAUUUAGAAGCAACUACUUCAGAUUUUGAAGGUUGCGCGUAUGGUGAUUGGAAAAACAGCUGCUGGGCCCCUUUAUAGUUACCUGAUUCCUCUUGUUCUUCUUGUUAAUGGUAAUUGAACUAUUUUGAGUCCUUUGU